CACGUAGGGUGCGAGCGUUGUCCGGAUUUAUUGGGCGUAAAGAGCGUGUAGGCGGCCAGGUAGGUCUGGUGUGAAAACUCGAGGCUUAACCUUGAGAUGUCAUCGGAAACCAUUUGGCUAGAGUCCGGAAGAGGAAAGUGGAAUUCCUGGUGUAGCGGUGAAAUGCGCAGAUAUCAGGAAGAACACCAAUGGCGAAAGCAGCUUUCUGGGACGGUACUGACGCUGAGACGCGAAAGCGUGGGGAGCGAACAGG
rnacentral:rRNA from 1 species